rnacentral:rRNA from 1 species
CCUACGGGCGGCAGCAGUGAGGAAUAUUGGUCAAUGGGCGCUAGCCUGAACCAGCCAAGUAGCGUGAAGGAUGACUGCCCUAUGGGUUGUAAACUUCUUUUAUAUGGGAAUAAAGUGCAGUAUGUAUACUGCUUUGCAUGUACCUUAUGAAUAAGGAUCGGCUAACUCAGUGCCAGCAGCCGCGGUAAUACGGAGGAUCCGAGCGUUAUCCGGAUUUAUUGGGUUUAAAGGGGGCGUAGGUGGAUUGUUAAGGCAGUUGUGAAAAUUUGCGGCUCAACCGUAAAAUUGCAGUUGAAACUGGCAGUCUUGAGUACAGUAGAGGUGGGCGGAAUUCGUGGUGUAGCGGUGAAAUGCUUAGAUAUCACGAAGAACCCCGAUUGCGAAGGCAGCUUACUAAACUGUGACUGACAUUGAUGCUCGAAAGUGUGGGUAUCAAACAGGAUUAGAUACCCGAGUAGUC